GAGUUUGAUCCUGGCUCAGAUUGAACGCUGGCGGAAUGCUUUACACAUGCAAGUCGAACGGCAGCACGGGUGCUUGCACCUGGUGGCGAGUGGCGAACGGGUGAGUAAUGCGUCGGAACGUAUCCAAUAAUGGGGGAUAACGCAGCGAAAGCUGUGCUAAUACCGCAUACGCCCUGAGGGGGAAAGCAGGGGAUCUUCGGACCUUGCGUUAAUGGAGCGGCCGACGUCUGAUUAGCUAGUUGGUGGGGUAAAGGCCUACCAAGGCGACGAUCAGUAGCUGGUCUGAGAGGAUGAUCAGCCACACUGGGACUGAGACACGGCCCAGACUCCUACGGGAGGCAGCAGUGGGGAAUUUUGGACAAUGGGGGCAACCCUGAUCCAGCCAUUCCGCGUGAGUGAAGAAGGCCUUCGGGUUGUAAAGCUCUUUCAGCUGGAACGAAACGGUACGCUCUAACAUAGCGUGCUAAUGACGGUACCGGCAGAAGAAGCACCGGCUAACUACGUGCCAGCAGCCGCGGUAAUACGUAGGGUGCGAGCGUUAAUCGGAAUUACUGGGCGUAAAGCGUGCGCAGGCGGAUUGUUAAGCAAGAUGUGAAAUCCCCGGGCUUAACCUGGGAAUGGCAUUUUGAACUGGCAGUCUAGAGUGCGUCAGAGGGGGGUGGAAUUCCACGUGUAGCAGUGAAAUGCGUAGAGAUGUGGAGGAACACCAAUGGCGAAGGCAGCCCCCUGGGAUGACACUGACGCUCAUGUACGAAAGCGUGGGUAGCAAACAGGAUUAGAUACCCUGGUAGUCG
rnacentral:rRNA from 1 species